ACAUAUAGCUUAGUUGUUAGAACAUGAGACUCUUAAUCUCAUUAAGGGUUAAGGGUUUGAGCCCCACGUUGGGUA